AAAAAGAAAACCCUAAAUCGCGAUUUGGCAGGCAUGGCUUCCACAACCGGGCGAUGGGCGUCAAUUCGUCCGAAGAAAAGAUAAGCUUCAAGUAGUGUGCACCUGGUCACCUACCAAUGUUACUAUGAAACGGGUACCAAGGCGGUAGAACCAAAUAAUGCCACUUCUCCCCAUGAAGGUGCUUGGCUUCGUAAUUUUCUUGAUCGUGAAGCUAAGCGUUGCCGCACUAUAAAGUGGAAAAGACUCCGACCUCCAGAUGCAGAUUUUAGUUCUCUUCGGAACUGCCUUAUCGAUCCCCCAGGAGAGGCCGUGUAGACGUUCAUGGAUAUUGCUUGUGUUUUGAAGAAAAGGAAUUGUGCAUCUUUCUUAUAUUUCUUCGGAAACCAGUUUAUUACCCAAAUGUAUUGUUGGUUAAUUUAACGUCAAUAUUCUGAGGAUUUAGAAUUAUUGUGACAAAAUAUUUGAAGAUAAUAUUGUUAUUAUAAACUCUAGUAGAGUGCUACAUUUGGUUGA